AUGGAUUUGCGGCCUGCUGAGAUCCUCAUCUUCCUCCGUGAUUAUCAAUGGGGAACUCAGCAAUCCUUUCGCCCUGGGUCAAGUGACACCCCAAGGGCGUCCAUUUUUGCUGAUGAUGCAGUAAUCUUCUUCAAGCCACAAAUCACGGAUCUGCGGGUUGAGGAAACGGGACAUCAUGCCACUGGUGGACAAGUUUUCCAGCAAGAUGAAGGGCUGGAAGUCGAAGUUGCUACCAGCUGCGGGAAGACUUACACUGGAGAUGUCAUGGUUUCAUUUGGAAGGGCGAGGAGGCUUAGGUGGCCAUGGGUGAAAUGGGACGAAAACCUCGGGCCGUGGCACUCUCUACCUGACACGAUGGAGAAAGCAGUUUCGGCAAUGUUCAACGCGGCCUCUGCGAUCUUACUCGAUGAUGGGGGUCUGCAAGAUUCCGACUGCUCAGUCCGGGAAGCUCUCCACAAUCAAUCCUGGAUCAGACAUAUCUCGGGUGGAAUCUCGGUGCAAGCUCUAGCGCAGUAUUUAUCAGUUUGGGAUCUAGCCUCUGAUACAUGCCUAACGCUAGGUGUGCGGGACCAGGUCCGCUGGAAGCUUACUAAGGGGCAAGAGUUCUCGUUCGGCAGUGCAUACAAGAUGAUGUUCAUGCCUAAUAUUCAUUUCGCUUGCAACCGGCCAAUCUGGAGAUCCAAAGCACCAGCACGCUGCAAAUUCUUUAUGUGGUUGGUUGUCCAUGGCAAAUGCCUAACGGUCGAUAAUCUUGUUCAAAGAGGUUGGCCCGCGAACGCUUCAUGCCCCCUCUAUCUCUCAUGA
rnacentral:rRNA from 1 species